UAUAUUAAAGUUGUUGCGGUUAAAAAGCUCGUAGUUGGAUCUCAGUUCCGGACGUGCGGUUCUCCUUGUGAGAUUGACUGUGCGUCCGAACAGCUCGUCGGCUCGCACGGGGUGCUCUUCAUCGAGUGUCCCGGGUGGCCGGCAUGUUUACUUUGAAAAAAUUAGAGUGCUCAAAGCAGGCUAUAGCCUGAAUAGUUGUGCAUGGAAUAAUGUAAUAGGACCUCGGUUCUAUUUUGUUGGUUUUCGGAACCCGAGGUAAUGAUUAAUAGAGACGGACGGGGGCAUUCGUAUUGCGACGCUAGAGGUGAAAUUCUUGGACCGUCGCAAGACGUACUACUGCGAAAGCAUUUGCCAAGAACGUUCUCAUUAAUCAAGAACGAAAGUUAGAGGUUCGAAGGCGAUCAGAUACCGCCCUAGUUCUAACCUUAAACGUUGCUGACUAGCGAUUCGUGUUUGUUAAUCCCAUGACUACACGAGCAGCUUCCGGGAAACCAAAGUGUUUGAGUUCCGGGGGAAGUAUGGUUGCAAAGCUGAAACUUAAAGGAAUUGACGGAAGGGCACCACCAGGAGUGGAGCCUGCGGCUUAAUUUGACUCAACACGGGGAACCUCACCAGGCCCGGACACUGGAAGGAUUGACAGAUUGAGAGCUCUUUCUUGAUUCAGUGGGUGGUGGUGCAUGGCCGUUCUUAGUUGGUGGAGCGAUUUGUCUGGUUAAUUCCGAUAACGAACGAGACUCUAGCCUGCUAACUAGUCGUGUCAUCUACAUACAAGUGUGACACGUAGCUUCUUAGAGGGAUAAGCAGCAUCUAGCUGC
rnacentral:rRNA from 1 species